UUCUGGGGCGUGCUCAGUACAGACUGCCUAUAGCAUAAGUAUAAAUUCAAACCAUGCUUCAAGCACAUUCAUAUAUUGUUUAUAAAUGAGAUACAAACACUGUAGACUUUCUAAGAAAUUGAAAAUGUCUGGUUUCUGGAUUUUAUUUAUGACCUUCAGCGCCGUGUAUCCAGUCCAACCUGGUAGACGCUGGGUUACUGCACAGUCCCCCACAGAGUCAUCAGUUUAUCAGCCUGAUAAAGAGCUCAGUGUGGAUAUCGGAGACUCGGCUACUCUGCAGUGUUGUGUUUCUGAAAAGGACUUUGGUCUAAUGGCUUGGUUUAAGCAAGCAAAAAGAAUAAAACCUCAGACUAUAGUUAGUUUCUUUAAGACUGCUGGAGAAACAUUUUACAAUGGAUUCCAAAAUUCUCGUUUCCAAAUAGAAAGAUCUUCAGACUGCUUCAAUAUAACCAUUUUAAACAUCACUCAGUCUGAUGAAGCCAUGUACUACUGUGCACUGACAUUCCCCAACAUUGUGUUUGGAGAUGGAACCUAUUUAAAAAUUAAAGGUGAGCAUGUUACUAUUGCAUCAGAAACAUCUACACCAGCUUUAUGUGAUAAUUCAGUGGUGUGUGAACCAACACUGCAUGGAAACAGCACUAACAUGAACACACAAGAGAAAACUGGUAAGGAGUCUCAUAAUUCAUCAUUGAAUAAUUAUCCUAAAUUCAUAAAGCAUAUUUUGCCUAGAAAAUCAUUUGUACUGAUAACAUGGUGAAAUAACAGAAUCAGAAAUUACUAGAUCUCUACAAUCGACAGUGCUCGGUUUGGGAACGGCUUUGGGCUUGUGUGCACUUCUGAUUGUUUGUCUCACUUAUUUUAUACUGAAGAGAAGAAAAAAUGAAAUCUGUAGAUUGAAUGCUUCUAUUGAAAACUGUCCAGAAACAAGGCAGGAAUCUGAAAUUGAAACACUGAAUUAUGCAGCUGUGCAAUUCUCCAAGAGGAAAGCCAAAGCUGAAAAAAAGAAAAUUGGCUCACUAGAUGAGUGUGUGUACUCUGAUGUGAAUAAAACUGUAAGAUGUAACAGAAACAAUUCAUAACACAUGGCACUAUUACACUGCAAAAACAAUUAAAAUAGUGGAAGUGGAAAUAUCUUGAUUAUAGUAUUUAUUUUUUCC